rnacentral:rRNA from 1 species
AUUGAACGCUGGCGGCAUGCCUUACACAUGCAAGUCGAACGGCAGCACGGGUGCUUGCACCUGGUGGCGAGUGGCGAACGGGUGAGUAAUACAUCGGAACAUGUCCUGUAGUGGGGGAUAGCCCGGCGAAAGCCGGAUUAAUACCGCAUACGAUCUACGGAUGAAAGCGGGGGACCUUCGGGCCUCGCGCUAUAGGGUUGGCCGAUGGCUGAUUAGCUAGUUGGUGGGGUAAAGGCCUACCAAGGCGACGAUCAGUAGCUGGUCUGAGAGGACGACCAGCCCACAUGGGAAUGAGACACGGCCCAGGCCUCUAGGGGGGGCAGGAGGGGGGAAUUUUGGGAAAGUGGGGAAAGGCUUGUCCAGGAAUGCCGGGGGUGGGAAGAAGGCCUUCGGGUUGGAAAGCCCUUUUGUCCGGAAAAAAAUCCUUGGCUUUAAUACAGUCGGGGGAUGACGGUACCGGAAGAAAAAGCCCCGGCUAAAUACG